rnacentral:rRNA from 1 species
CCUGCCCUAUACCGGGGGAUAACAGUCAGAAAUGGCUGCUAAUACCGCAUAAGCGCACAGUAUCGCAUGAUACGGUGUGAAAAACUCCGGUGGUAUAAGAUGGGCCCGCGUCCAAUUAGCUAGUUGGUAGGGUAAGAGCCUACCAAGGCGACGAUUGGUAACCGGCCUGAGAGGGUGACCGGUCACACUGGGACUGAGACACGGCCCAGACUCCUACGGGAGGCAGCAGUGGGGAAUAUUGCACAAUGGAGGGAACUCUGAUGCAGCAACGCCGCGUGAAGGAUGAAGGUUUUCGGAUCGUAAACUUCUAUCAUUAAGGAAGAAUAAAAUGACAGUACUUAAAUAAGAAGCCCCGGCUAACUACGUGCCAGCAGCCGCGGUAAUACGUAGGGGGCAAGCGUUAUCCGGAUUUACUGGGUAUAAAGGGUGCGUAGGUGGUAUGUUAAGUUAGAUGUGAAAGCCCAAGGCUUAACCUUGGGAUUGCAUCUAAAACUAGCAAACUAGAGUGCAGGAGAGGAAAGUGGAAUUCCUAGUGUAGCGGUGAAAUGCGUAGAUAUUAGGAGGAACAUCAGUAGCGAAGGCGGCUUUCUG